GUGAUUUCAACCAAGCGUGCGUUUCACGUGUCACGUGCUCUUGCUGUCCUCCUCGCACACCUGUAUUUCGCGUGCGCCCCACUUCAACCUGAACCGAUGAGCUCUGUUCUCUAUACGCUACAUCUUCAGAUACUACUAUCCUGUUGUUAAACAUGUGCAUUAUAGACGCGCUGUGUUGACAUUUUCUCCAUAUUUAUGACUCUAAUAGGAUUAUAACGUACGCCAUUUUAAUAGGAUUAGAAAUGUCUGCUUUAUAAGAUGAAAUGUCAACAUCGAAAGUCGACUUCGAUAGUCAGUUUCGAUUGUCGAGAUCUCUCGUUUGUAUUAACAGAUUUAUAUCGCAUGUGAAAUUUUGUAAACGUCAUUGGCGUUUUUCGACGACUAAGUUAGUUGGUUUCGUUUAGUAGCGUUUGUUACGCUUAUAAGUGAAUUACGGUAACUGUGAAAUAAAUAGUACGCUACGCGUAAUGUGUCUACUGUGGAAUGUGACUUUGAUCGUGCGGAGAAAGGUAUCCGUGAACUUGUUUUCAUGCGCCGCUGAACCACGUGUUUUGGGAACGGACACGCGCCCCUGUGUGUUUAGUUGCACGACUUUUUACUACUCCGUUUCUCUUGUAAGGAUCAUCAUGUAUACGUAAAAGGCCAUUUAUCUGUCAAUUUUAUUUAGGAGAAAUCGUAUGUAACACGUUUUGUGCAGUAUACACCAUAGAUGGAAUAUAAUCGACUUUCCCCUUAAGUAGUUCCAUACUCGUGAGAGAAACUAAUCUUACAAAUAUUCGAGUAAACGGGAAAUAUGGCAUCUCUGUAGGGUGAAGUAUUAUUAAAGCAAAUAAAACAAUAUAUUAACAUUUUAAAGAAGAGCACAUCUGAAUGAGUUUAAUAUAAAUGUUACGUUACGUACAAUAUUAAUGUUACGUUUAUUCUAGAGAUCGCAUAAACUCUAUUUGCUUGUAUUAAAUUUGCAUUCCUCCAAGUGGCGUAUUUUAUACAUGUGUUUGAAGAGACUUAAAAAUUUGAAGAGCGUAUAAUAUUCACGGGGAACAUAAAAAAACGUUUGAUCAACAUGAGUCUGGUAACUUUUCAAAAAUAAAGAAUUCAACUAUUUUCGCAUAAAGAAAUUUUUAGCCCAAAACGACGACAAAAUUUCUACUGCCUGAUGCUAAAGCGAGCUUCUACAUAUGUGUAGCUAAAUUAACAUUGUAUAUUUAUAAACCAUCUCAAACGACAAGUAAUUCUGAUGCAUAGAUUAAAGUACUGAAAAUAAUAUAACAAGUACAU